rnacentral:rRNA from 1 species
GACGAACGCUGGCGGCGUGCUUAACACAUGCAAGUCGAGCGGAAAGGCCCUUCGGGGUACUCGAGCGGCGAACGGGUGAGUAACACGUGAGUAACCUGCCUUCAGCUUUGGGAUAACCCUCGGAAACGGGGGCUAAUACCGGGUAUGACUGCCUGCCGCAUGGUGGGUGGUGGAAAGAUUUUUUGGCUGGAGAUGGGCUCGCGGCCUAUCAGCUUGUUGGUGGGGUGAUGGCCUACCAAGGCGACGACGGGUAGCCGGCCUGAGAGGGCGACCGGCCACACUGGGACUGAGACACGGCCCAGACUCCUACGGGAGGCAGCAGUGGGGAAUAUUGCACAAUGGGCGGAAGCCUGAUGCAGCGACGCCGCGUGAGGGACGACGGCCUUCGGGUUGUAAACCUCUUUUAGUAGGGAAGAAGCGAAAGUGACGGUACCUGCAGAAAAAGCACCGGCUAACUACGUGCCAGCCGCCGCCGUAACAC